GGUGAACCUGCGGAAGGAUCAUUCGCGC
rnacentral:rRNA from 1 species